rnacentral:rRNA from 1 species
AGGUCCCGCCUGCCCUGUGAUUUUUUUAACGGCCGCGGUAUCUUGACCGUGCGAAGGUAGCGUAAUCACUUGUUUUUUAAUUGAAGGCCCGUAUGAAAGGCAUAACGAGAGUUUAUCUGUCUUUAUUUUCUAAUCAAUGAAAUUGAUCUUCUCGUGCAGAAGCGAGAAUAAAAACAUAAGACGAGAAGACCCUAUGGAGCUUAAAACACCUAAGUUAUUUUUAAAUAAUAAUAAAUUUACUACCUACGGGCACAAAAAUACAUAAAAUAAUCUUCUAACUUAACUUGUUUUUGGUUGGGGCGACCAAGGGGAAAAACAAAACCCCCUUAUCGAACGGGUGAAAGAUCACUCAAAAUUAGAAUUACAAUUCUAAUUAAUAGAAAAUCUAACGAACAAUGACCCAGGAAACCAUAUCCUGAUCAAUGAACCAAGUUACCCUAGGGAUAACAGCGCAAUCCUUUCUUAGAGCCCACAUCACCGAAAGGGUUUACGACCUCGAUGUUGGAUCAGGACAUCCUAAUGGUGUAGCAGCUAUUAAGGGUUCGUUUGUUCAACGAUUAAUAGUCCUACGUGAUC